AUUGAACGCUGGCGGCAUGCUUUACACAUGCAAGUCGAACGGUAACAGGUCUUCGGAUGCUGACGAGUGGCGAACGGGUGAGUAAUACAUCGGAACGUGCCUAGUAGUGGGGGAUAACUACUCGAAAGAGUAGCUAAUACCGCAUGAGAUCUACGGAUGAAAGCAGGGGACCUUCGGGCCUUGUGCUACUAGAGCGGCUGAUGGCAGAUUAGGUAGUUGGUGGGGUAAAGGCUUACCAAGCCUGCGAUCUGUAGCUGGUCUGAGAGGACGACCAGCCACACUGGGACUGAGACACGGCCCAGACUCCUACGGGAGGCAGCAGUGGGGAAUUUUGGACAAUGGGCGAAAGCCUGAUCCAGCAAUGCCGCGUGCAGGAUGAAGGCCCUCGGGUUGUAAACUGCUUUUGUACGGAACGAAAAGCCUGGGGCUAAUAUCCCCGGGUCAUGACGGUACCGUAAGAAUAAGCACCGGCUAACUACGUGCCAGCAGCCGCGGUAAUACGUAGGGUGCAAGCGUUAAUCGGAAUUACUGGGCGUAAAGCGUGCGCAGGCGGUUUUGUAAGACAGUGGUGAAAUCCCCGGGCUCAACCUGGGAACUGCCAUUGUGACUGCAAGGCUAGAGUGCGGCAGAGGGGGAUGGAAUUCCGCGUGUAGCAGUGAAAUGCGUAGAUAUGCGGAGGAACACCGAUGGCGAAGGCAAUCCCCUGGGCCUGCACUGACG
rnacentral:rRNA from 1 species